UAUCAUUCUUCCUUUGUUUUGAAGAACUGUUGGCUUCUUUACGGGAAACCCUGAAGUCGGUCAAGGAUAUCCCCCACAUACUCAAGAAAUUCAACUCCCCAAGUUCUGCAUGUACAACUGGCGAUUGGACAGCUUUUCUGAAGAGCAUCUGUUCACUCCUACAUGUGAACAAGAUAUUUGAAGUUGGCAUUUCUGGAAGUCUUUGAGAGCAAAUGAGAUAUU